rnacentral:rRNA from 1 species
ACCGUGAGGGAAAGGCGAAAAGAACCCCGGCGAGGGGAGUGAAAAAGAACCUGAAACCGUGUACGUACAAGCAGUGGGAGCACGCUUAGGCGUGUGACUGCGUACCUUUUGUAUAAUGGGUCAGCGACUUAUAUUCUGUAGCAAGGUUAACCGAAUAGGGGAGCCGAAGGGAAACCGAGUCUUAACUGGGCGUUAAGUUGCAGGGUAUAGACCCGAAACCCGGUGAUCUAGCCAUGGGCAGGUUGAAGGUUGGGUAACACUAACUGGAGGACCGAACCGACUAAUGUUGAAAAAUUAGCGGAUGACUUGUGGCUGGGGGUGAAAGGCCAAUCAAACCGGGAGAUAGCUGGUUCUCCCCGAAAGCUAUUUAGGUAGCGCCUCGUGAAUUCAUCUCCGGGGGUAGAGCACUGUUUCGGCAAGGGGGUCAUCCCGACUUACCAACCCGAUGCAAACUGCGAAUACCGGAGAAUGUUAUCACGGGAGACACACGGCGGGUGCUAACGUCCGUCGUGAAGAGGGAAACAACCCAGACCGCCAGCUAAGGUCCCAAAGUCAUGGUUAAGUGGGAAACGAUGUGGGAAGGCCCAGACAGCCAGGAUGUUGGCUUAGAAGCAGCCAUCAUUUAAAGAAAGCGUAAUAGCUCACUGGUCGAGUCGGCCUGCGCGGAAGAUGUAACGGGGCUAAACCAUGCACCGAAGCUGCGGCAGCGACACUAUGUGUUGUUGGGUAGGGGAGCGUUCUGUAAGCCUGUGAAGGUGUACUGUGAGGUAUGCUGGAGGUAUCAGAAGUGCGAAUGCUGACAUAAGUAACGAUAAAGCGGGUGAAAAGCCCGCU